rnacentral:rRNA from 1 species
GACGAACGCUGGCGGCGUGCUUAACACAUGCAAGUCGAACGGAAAGGCCCUGCUUGCAGGGUGCUCGAGUGGCGAACGGGUGAGUAACACGUGGGUGAUCUGCCCCUUACUUUGGGAUAAGCCUGGGAAACUGGGUCUAAUACGGGAUAGGACCAGGCUGUAGGUGGUGUGGUGGAAAGAUUAGUUUCGGUAAGGGAUGAGACCGCGGCCGAGCAGCGUGUUGGUGGGGUAAUGGCCUACCAAGGCGUCGACGGGUAGCCGGCCUGAGAGGGUGGACGGCCACAUUGGGACUGAGAUACGGCACAGACUCCUAAGGGCGGCACCAGUGGUCCCUCUUCCCCCCUCUGCCCCAGCCUGAUGCAGCGCCGCCGCGUGGGGGAUGCCGGCCUUCGGGUUGUAAACUCCUUUCGGCCAUGACGAAGCCCUUGUGGUGACGGUAGUGGUAGAAGACGCACCGGCUAACUACGUG